rnacentral:lncRNA from 1 species
AAUGCAUCUUUGAACAGAUGAUAAGAAUAAUAUAUCGGAUUCUUCGGAUAAUGUUUUAGCUUGUAAGCUCUGCAACUUGUCCUUCAAUGCAGCAAACGAUCUUUUUGAUGAUGCAAAGACUCAUUUUGAAGAGAACAAAAAUAAUGCCCCUUAUAAACCAUCAAUCAGAUUGUCAUAGAGGAGAUAAAAUUACAAAUCAAUAUGCAUAAAGGCAUAACUUUUGCUCAAAUUAUUCGCAAAUUUGCCAGUACCAUCUUUGAAGAUGACAAUUGUAUACCUACUGUGAUGAAAGAACGAAAACUGAAGGCAUUGUUUCAGCAUGGCUAUUGCAGGAUAAGUGAAUUUUGACUUCCGUGUUUCCUUCAAGUGACCCACUCGCUCCCAUUGUCUGCCAUAUAUAUCUUCGCUUUCAGUAUCAAGUUUUCCCAUGGAAUUUUAUAAGUGGUUGUGAAAAUUGACCUUAAAUGUGAUUUUAUACCAGAAGCUUGCGAUGCAUGUGACCGUAUAAUGUUUUAAUAUGAAUUCAAAUUACUAAUAGAUACAUUAAAAAGUCAUGAACGAGAUAUUUAAGUUAAUAAAAACUUGAG